rnacentral:rRNA from 1 species
GACGAACGCUGGCGGCGUGCCUAACACAUGCAAGUCGAACGGAAAGGCCCUGCUUUUGUGGGGUGCUCGAGUGGCGAACGGGUGAGUAACACGUGAGUAACCUGCCCUUGACUUUGGGAUAACUUCAUGAAACUGGGGCUAAUACCGGAUAGGAGCUCCUGCUGCAUGGUGGGGGUUGGAAAGUUUCGGUGGUUGGGGAUGGACUCGCGGCUUAUCAGCUUGUUGGUGGGGUAGUGGCUUACCAAGGCUUUGACGGGUAGCAGGCCUGAGAGGGUGACAGGCCACAUUGGACCUGAGCUGAGGCCCAGACUCGUACGGGAGGCAGGGGUGGGGAAUAUUGCACAAUGGGAGGAAGGAUGAUGCAGCACAGCCGCGUGGGGGAUGACGGCCUUCGGGUUGUAAACCGAUUUCGCCUGUGACGAAGCGUGAGUGACGGUAAUGGGUAAAGAAGCACCGGCUAACUACGUG